rnacentral:sRNA from 1 species
GCCGGGUGUGGUGGCGUGCACCUGUAAUCCCAGCUACUUGGGAGGCUGAGGCAGGAGAAUUGCUUGAACCCAGGAGGCAGAGGUUGCAGUGAGUGGAGAUCACCCCACUGCGCUCCAGCCUGGGUGACAGAGCAAGACUGCGUCUCAA